GACAGAGGGUGCAAACGUUGUUCGGAAUUACUGGGCGUAAAGCGUGUGUAGGCGGCCAUUCAAGUCGGAUGUGAAAGCCCCGGGCUCAACCCGGGAAGUGCACCCGAUACUGUAUGGCUUGAGUAUCGGAGAGGUUGGUGGAAUUCUCGGUGUAGAGGUGGAAUGCGUAGAGAUCGGGAAGAACAUCGGUGGCGAAGGCGGCCUGCUGGGCUGUUGCUGACACUGAGGCGCGACAGCGUGGGGAGCAAACAGG
rnacentral:rRNA from 1 species